GGGCAAACAAGGAGUCACGAAGUUGUGGG
rnacentral:piRNA from 1 species